GACGAACGCUGGCGGCGUGCUUAACACAUGCAAGUCGAACGGAAAGGCCCUGCUUUUGUGGGGUGCUCGAGUGGCGAACGGGUGAGUAACACGUGAGUAACCUGCCCUUGACUUUGGGAUAACUUCAGGAAACUGGGGCUAAUACCGGAUAGGAGCUCCUGCUGCAUGGUGGGGGUUGGAAAGUUUCGGCGGUUGGGGAUGGACUCGCGGCUUAUCAGCUUGUUGGUGGGGUAGUGGCUUACCAAGGCUUUGACGGGUAGCCGGCCUGAGAGGGUGACCGGACACAUUGGGACUGAGAUACGGGCCAGACUCCUACGGGAGGAAGCAGUGGGGAAUAUUGCACAAUGGGCGGAAGCCUGCUGCAGCAACGCAGCGUGCGGGAUGACGGCCUUCGGGUUGUAAACCGCAUUCGCCUGUGACGAAGCGUGAGUGACGGUAAUGGGUAAAGAAGCACCGGCUAACUACGUG
rnacentral:rRNA from 1 species